rnacentral:rRNA from 1 species
GGGUUGUGAGGUUAAGCGACUAAGCGUACACGGUGGAUGCCCUGGCAGUCAGAGGCGAUGAAGGACGUGCUAAUCUGCGAUAAGCGUCGGUAAGGUGAUAUGAACCGUUAUAACCGGCGAUUUCCGAAUGGGGAAACCCAGUGUGUUUCGACACACUAUCAUUAACUGAAUCCAUAGGUUAAUGAGGCGAACCGGGGGAACUGAAACAUCUAAGUACCCCGAGGAAAAGAAAUCAACCGAGAUUCCCCCAGUAGCGGCGAGCGAACGGGGAGCAGCCCAGAGCCUGAAUCAGUGUGUGUGUUAGUGGAAGCGUCUGGAAAGGCGCGCGAUACAGGGUGACAGCCCCGUACACAAAAAUGCACAUGCUGUGAGCUCGAUGAGUAGGGCGGGACACGUGGUAUCCUGUCUGAAUAUGGGGGGACCAUCCUCCAAGGCUAAAUACUCCUGACUGACCGAUAGUGAACCAGUACCGUGAGGGAAAGGCGAAAAGAACCCCGGCGAGGGGAGUGAAAAAGAACCUGAAACCGUGUACGUACAAGCAGUGGGAGCACGCUUAGGCGUGUGACUGCGUACCUUUUGUAUAAUGGGUCAGCGACUUAUAUUCUGUAGCAAGGUUAACCGAAUAGGGGAGCCGAAGGGAAACCGAGUCUUAACUGGGCGUUAAGUUGCAGGGUAUAGACCCGAAACCCGGUGAUCUAGCCAUGGGCAGGUUGAAGGUUGGGUAACACUAACUGGAGGACCGAACCGACUAAUGUUGAAAAAUUAGCGGAUGACUUGUGGCUGGGGGUGAAAGGCCAAUCAAACCGGGAGAUAGCUGGUUCUCCCCGAAAGCUAUUUAGGUAGCGCCUCGUGAAUUCAUCUCCGGGGGUAGAGCACUGUUUCGGCAAGGGGGUCAUCCCGACUUACCAACCCGAUGCAAACUGCGAAUACCGGAGAAUGUUAUCACGGGAGACACACGGCGGGUGCUAACGUCCGUCGUGAAGAGGGAAACAACCCAGACCGCCAGCUAAGGUCCCAAAGUCAUGGUUAAGUGGGAAACGAUGUGGGAAGGCCCAGACAGCCAGGAUGUUGGCUUAGAAGCAGCCAUCAUUUAAAGAAAGCGUAAUAGCUCACUGGUCGAGUCGGCCUGCGCGGAAGAUGUAACGGGGCUAAACCAUGCACCGAAGCUGCGGCAGCGACGCUUAUGCGUUGUUGGGUAGGGGAGCGUUCUGUAAGCCUGCGAAGGUGUGCUGUGAGGCAUGCUGGAGGUAUCAGAAGUGCGAAUGCUGACAUAAGUAACGAUAAAGCGGGUGAAAAGCCCGCUCGCCGGAAGACCAAGGGUUCCUGUCCAACGUUAAUCGGGGCAGGGUGAGUCGACCCCUAAGGCGAGGCCGAAAGGCGUAGUCGAUGGGAAACAGGUUAAUAUUCCUGUACUUGGUGUUACUGCGAAGGGGGGACGGAGAAGGCUAUGUUGGCCGGGCGACGGUUGUCCCGGUUUAAGCGUGUAGGCUGGUUUUCCAGGCAAAUCCGGAAAAUCAAGGCUGAGGCGUGAUGACGAGGCACUACGGUGCUGAAGCAACAAAUGCCCUGCUUCCAGGAAAAGCCUCUAAGCAUCAGGUAACAUCAAAUCGUACCCCAAACCGACACAGGUGGUCAGGUAGAGAAUACCAAGGCGCUUGAGAGAACUCGGGUGAAGGAACUAGGCAAAAUGGUGCCGUAACUUCGGGAGAAGGCACGCUGAUAUGUAGGUGAGGUCCCUCGCGGAUGGAGCUGAAAUCAGUCGAAGAUACCAGCUGGCUGCAACUGUUUAUUAAAAACACAGCACUGUGCAAACACGAAAGUGGACGUAUACGGUGUGACGCCUGCCCGGUGCCGGAAGGUUAAUUGAUGGGGUUAGCGCAAGCGAAGCUCUUGAUCGAAGCCCCGGUAAACGGCGGCCGUAACUAUAACGGUCCUAAGGUAGCGAAAUUCCUUGUCGGGUAAGUUCCGACCUGCACGAAUGGCGUAAUGAUGGCCAGGCUGUCUCCACCCGAGACUCAGUGAAAUUGAACUCGCUGUGAAGAUGCAGUGUACCCGCGGCAAGACGGAAAGACCCCGUGAACCUUUACUAUAGCUUGACACUGAACAUUGAGCCUUGAUGUGUAGGAUAGGUGGGAGGCUUAGAAGUGUGGACGCCAGUCUGCAUGGAGCCGACCUUGAAAUACCACCCUUUAAUGUUUGAUGUUCUAACGUUGACCCGUAAUCCGGGUUGCGGACAGUGUCUGGUGGGUAGUUUGACUGGGGCGGUCUCCUCCUAAAGAGUAACGGAGGAGCACGAAGGUUGGCUAAUCCUGGUCGGACAUCAGGAGGUUAGUGCAAUGGCAUAAGCCAGCUUGACUGCGAGCGUGACGGCGCGAGCAGGUGCGAAAGCAGGUCAUAGUGAUCCGGUGGUUCUGAAUGGAAGGGCCAUCGCUCAACGGAUAAAAGGUACUCCGGGGAUAACAGGCUGAUACCGCCCAAGAGUUCAUAUCGACGGCGGUGUUUGGCACCUCGAUGUCGGCUCAUCACAUCCUGGGGCUGAAGUAGGUCCCAAGGGUAUGGCUGUUCGCCAUUUAAAGUGGUACGCGAGCUGGGUUUAGAACGUCGUGAGACAGUUCGGUCCCUAUCUGCCGUGGGCGCUGGAGAACUGAGGGGGGCUGCUCCUAGUACGAGAGGACCGGAGUGGACGCAUCACUGGUGUUCGGGUUGUCAUGCCAAUGGCACUGCCCGGUAGCUAAAUGCGGAAGAGAUAAGUGCUGAAAGCAUCUAAGCACGAAACUUGCCCCGAGAUGAGUUCUCCCUGACUCCUUGAGAGUCCUGAAGGAACGUUGAAGACGACGACGUUGAUAGGCCGGGUGUGUAAGCGCAGCGAUGCGUUGAGCUAACCGGUACUAAUGAACCGUGAGGCUUAACCUUACAACGCCGAAG